CCUACGGGAGGCUGCAGUGGGGGAUAUUGCACAAUGGGGGGAACCCUGAUGCAGCGACGCCGCGUGGGUGAAGAAGCGCCUCGGCGCGUAAAGCCCUGUCAGCAGGGAAGAAAAUGACGGUACCUGAAGAAGAAGCCCCGGCUACCUACGUGCCAGCAGCCGCGGUAAUACGUAGGGGGCAAGCGUUAUCCGGAUUUACUGGGGGGAAAGGGGGCGCAGACGGGGAUGCAAGCCAGGAGUGAAAGCCCGGGGCCCAACCCCGGGAGUGCUCUUGGAACUGCGUGGCUGGAGUGCAGGAGGGGCAGGCGGAAUUCCUGGUGUAGCGGUGAAAUGCGUAGAUAUCAGGAGGAACACCGGUGGCGAAGGCGGCCUGCUGGACUGCAACUGACGUUGAGGCCCGAAAGCGUGGGGAGCAAACAGGGUUAGAUACCCGAGUAGUC
rnacentral:rRNA from 1 species